GACGAACGCUGGCGGCGUGCCUAAUACAUGCAAGUCGACCUAAGUGGUGAACGGGUGAGUAACACGUGGGUAACCUGCCCAGCAGAAGGGGGUAACAGUUGGCAACAGGUGCAAAUACCGUAUACUGAUGGAUGGACCCGCUGUGCAUUAGCUAGUUGGUGAGGUAACGGCUCACCAAGGCCACGAUGCAUAGCCGCCCUGAGAGGGUGAUCGGCCACAUUGGGACUGAGACACGGCCCAAACUCCUACGGGAGGCAGCAGUAGGGAAUCUUGGGCAAUGGACGAAAGCCUGACCGAGCAACGCCGCGUGUAUGAAGAAGGUCUUCGGAUCGUAAAACUCUGUUGUUAGGGAGGCGGUAUCUAACCAGAAAGCAACGGCUAACUACGUGCCAGCAGCCGCGGUAAUUC
rnacentral:rRNA from 1 species